rnacentral:rRNA from 1 species
UCAGGUAGAGAAUACUCAGGCGCUUGAGAGAACUCGGGUGAAGGAACUAGGCAAAAUGGUGCCGUAACUUCGGGAGAAGGCACGCUGGCAUUAGGUAAAGGGACUUGCUCCCGGCGCCGAAGCCAGUCGCAGAUACCAGCUGGCUGCAACUGUUUAAUAAAAACACAGCACUGUGCAAACACGAAAGUGGACGUAUACGGUGUGACGCCUGCCCGGUGCUGGAAGGUUAAUUGAUGGGGUCAGCCGCAAGGCGAAGCUCUUGAUCGAAGCCCCAGUAAACGGCGGCCGUAACUAUAACGGUCCUAAGGUAGCGAAAUUCCUUGUCGGGUAAGUUCCGACCUGCACGAAUGGCGUAAUGAUGGCCAGGCUGUCUCCACCCGAGACUCAGUGAAAUUGAACUCGCUGUGAAGAUGCAGUGUACCCGCGGCAAGACGGAAAGACCCCGUGAACCUUUACUAUAGCUUGACACUGAACAUUGAGCCUUGAUG